UGAUUCCGAUUGGCGCCGACAUUGCACUUAGUGUUAACGAUCUUUCCGAAGGGUUUACAGAGCUCAACUAGCUCCUCCUCCGUGCACUCCCAUGGGAGAUUCCGGAGAUGCAAAACCUUCGAUGGGGUUUGCGUGUAUCGAAAUUGGGGCUGCCCCGACGUGGACAUCUACAGGGAUUUGGGAUUGUGCCUACCGAUAGACAGAGGAGUCUGAUUCUAGGCGUCAAGAAUUGCUGGGAUUUUCCGGUCAAAAAAUAUUAGGCAUACGUUUUGGGACGAGGCGACGGCGUGAGAUCACUUUGUAGUAUUCG
rnacentral:misc_RNA from 1 species